UGGUAAGUUAACGUUCAGUAUUGUGUGUUGUGUCACAUUCCUCCCAUGAUCGUUCUCAAAACUACCUGCCAUUUGUGUCACAGCCUUGUUGGGUUGUGCCACAAAUGAUAGCCAUCAUUCACUUCUCGCCACAAUGAGUCAUCGCCACCCAACACCCUGUCAGUGGAUCUUGGGUUUUCCCUUCUUGGACCAGUCUCAGUAGGUACCACAGCUAAGAAGCCUUGGCAUUUCUGAGAUGCUCUUACCCAGUCGUCUGACCAUAAUUAUUUAGCCCUUGUCAAAGUCACCCAGAUCUUCAUCCCUGCCAAUGUCUUCUGCAUUAGACAUGCUGACUAGGAGCACCAAAUGUUAUAGCUUACUGUCCAAUACACCCCAGACCUUGACACGCACUGUUUAUACUAGGUAGUCAACAUUAUUCAGUUCAAAUAGGGAUGGUCAUAAUAAUGGUUUUGGCUCAUUGGUGUAUAUUUACAUUAAAAUUUUCCAUGACUGUUCCCCUGCCCUGUGCACUAUGCUUUCUGGGAUAAGUUUAAGGUUUAAGGUAACCCUGUACUAGGUAAAUAAUGGAUGGAUGGAUGGAUGGAUGGAUGGAAAUGUUGAAGCUGAUUAGUUUCCUUAAAAUCAUGUUUGCUAAUAGAUUCAGGGAAAGACAUUUAGAGCUACCUGGUCAGGUUUACCAAACAAAGACACAAGCCAAUGCUAUGACGUACAAAAAAGCGAUUUACAGUGUCGGGAUCGAGCAAAUGAUUUUUUUUUUCUUCUUCACUGUUAGCACGUAAUGAAAGGAUCAUCAUUCUAUAAACUAUGAACAGUGUUUUAGAAUACGAGAGGCACCAAACAUCGAUGCAUUUCGUAAAUAUUUCUGAUUGAAAAGCUGAAUUCGUCAUCGAACAAUGCUCAGAAAGUGCAUGUUUGCAACACAACCGGCAGCCAAGGCGUCGAUCGCUGUCCGGGGUACUGAAGAUAACGCUGUGAUCUCAUCAUUGAACGACAUGCGAUAUUAUGGCAAUAUAUUGAAUUCAUAUUGAAAAUGAAAUGCCAACUCACCUCCUUUGUCACGUGACGCCCACCAAAAAUGAAAAAUUGCAUUGCAAUGCAAUGAUUCAUAUUUUCCUAAUAAUUUCAUAGAAAAAUUAGUUAUAGUCUAACUUCUAUGUACAUUUGCAAAUAAAUAAUUAAAAUACAUGGGAAAAAGUUCGUUAUUCUUCCGAUUUUGCAUAGGCCUAAUGUUUAAGGUACGUUAACGUGCGUAAAUCCAGGGUGAGGUAUUAGAGAUUUCAGUUAAUCAGUUUAAAUUUAAAAUUAAUUUCAAAUGAAUUCGGCACGGCGUAUAGAUACCUACGUUAUUUUAAGAAAAUUAGCAGCAAUAGUUUAACUAGAUCCAUAUCAUGUGUAAAAACAGUAAGAAAUAAUGUUGAAUUUAAAGUUUUACCUAAAAUGUGGAACGACGAUCCUAUAAAUUAACACCACAAAAUAAGAUGUGUUGGUAAAGGGGUCAACACCAAGACAAUUACAUCGCGUCACGGACUAAGUUGUCAGUAUACGGACAAUUUGACGAUCCCUGUUCUCAGUGCACGUAAGUUCUUGUCGGCUAGCUUUGACAAAUGUAAAAAGUACUCCUUUAUGCAGAAAAUCAUUUUGAAGUGACACUGAUGCCGACACUCGAUUUUCUCCCAUCGUCCCAAAAUAUGUUGCGUCUCGUCCCACUGUUUUUAGGUGAUACUUAUGGAUACAGACAGAUUAGACAGACAGACACAUAGAUAGAUCUCACCUAUUACUGGCAAAUUUCCGUUCCUUAAUUUGGGUGAUUUUGCAUGACCAGCUUGUCUGCUUUGCAUUCGCGCCAGGCGCUUCAGUUUCCGUGUUACAUCACUUACAUUAAUACUUGAUGUGAAUAUUACUCGCCUUGCACCCGACUGGCUGUGUGACGGGCGGACGGGAGAAACGGCAGGAUCAGGAAUGACAGGCACUUAUAGAGUUUCGGAAUGGGAGCGCGGACGGGUUCUCUAAGAGAGCGUCAUGGCACCAUCAUAUGCACCGUCUAGCAUCUGCACUUGAGUAUCAUAGGUUUAUUCAGUCCAUGAACGGUAUUAAAUAGAACAAAAUCUGCAUAUAACCGUUUCCAAACAUGUUCUUAAAAUACGUGACCUAAAUGAUCCAAAGUAAAUAUAAAAGAACCUUCAUUAUGUAAUUUUACUAAUGCUAAGAAAUGCAUUUCCUUACAUGAUAAUUCAGUGAUAAAUUAAGGGAAAAAAUGAUUGCAUUAGAUUAAAAAAUGACAAAAUAAAGCAACAUAAAGUGCACUUAAA